GGCUCCGGGCGGCCGUGACCCUGCUGGAGUCCGGGGGGGACCUCCAGCCCCCCGGGGGGUCCCUGCGCCUCCUCUGCCGAGGGUCCGGGUUCGAUUUUGGAAGAACCAGUCUGAUGUGCGUUCGCCAGGGGCCUGGGCAGGCGCUGGAGUUCGUUGCGGGGAUCGACUACGAUGAUGGCACCACCAGAUACGCGCCGUCGGUGCAGGGCCGGGUGACGAUCUCCAGGGGAAAACGGGCAGAGCUCGGUGACGCUGACCAUGAACAGCCUCAGGGACGAGGAUUCCGGCAUCAAUUUCUGUGCCAAAUCUGCUGCUGCUUCUGCUGCUGCUCUUCCUGGUCGUG